rnacentral:rRNA from 1 species
AUCGUUCUCCGCACCCUUUCUUCUCUCGUGGUCAUCAUCCAACUCCUGUCGUCGUCGUUCCGUCUCUCUUUUUCGUCAUCGCCAUCCACUUGUAUCUUCCUCGUCGUCCUCGCGUCGUUCUUCCUCUUCUACGUCAUCCCCGCGUUGUUCUCUUCCCGUCGUCAAAGCACUACCUCUUCUUCUUCCUCGUCGUCGUCGUCCGUUCCUCCUUCCUCCUCUUCCUCGUUCGUCGUCUUUCUUCCUUUCCCUAGUGCACCCCGUGGUCUGUUCGCACUGGGGAUCAGACCAUCCCGCGCGCUCCACCUACCGCCACACACCGAGAUCUACCACUACCUCCUUCACCAUCUACCUCUACCAGCCACACCACCCUCCUCGACCAUUACCUCCUACUACACCACCGCGAUACCACACGCCACCGACCUACCGACCUUCCGCAACACCGCGCGGCGGUGCGGCCGGACCGGCGCCGCCGCCGGCCUCCACCUCUUCUUCCCCACUCCCUCUCCUCUUCUCUACGGUCCGGGCUCCCCUAGCUUCCGGUGGGAUCCCUAAAACUGGGGGAGAGCUAGUCUAGACGGUGAAACGGGAAAACGGGAGGAAGACAGAAGA